rnacentral:rRNA from 1 species
GACAUAGGUGGCAAACGUUAUCCGGAAUCAUUGGGCGUAAAGGAUGUGUAGAUGGUUAGAUAAGUUAUCGGUGGCAAAUUGAGGCUUAACCUCAUGGAAGUUGGUAAUACUGUUUAGCUAGAGUACAGAAGAGGUUAACGGAACUCCGUGUGUAGCGGUGAAAUGCUCUGAUAUACGGAAGAACAUCAAAGGCGAAGGCAGUUAACUAUUCUGUUACUGACAUUGAAGCAUGAAAGCGUGGGGAUCAAAACGG